rnacentral:piRNA from 1 species
UCAAAAAAAGAAAUACUAACUUUGUGUUU